CCUGCUUGGAUCCAGUUAGAAUUUUACAGUCUUUGUGCUGCACAGACACAAAGCUUUGGGGGGGAAUAAAUGUAUACAUCCUGCAUGCUAUUCCUAAAGAUAAUUCCCCAUAAGAAUCUCAGCUCCCUCAUCCAUCUUUGUCCUGUGUUAUCUUAAUGGGCAAAAUGCCCUUGGCUCCUCAAGUGGUGCU